AUUGAACGCUGGCGGCAUGCCUUACACAUGCAAGUCGAACGGCAGCACGGGGGCAACCCUGGUGGCGAGUGGCGAACGGGUGAGUAAUGCAUCGGAACGUGCCCCGUAGCGGGGGAUAACCAGUCGAAAGACUGGCUAAUACCGCAUACGCUCCACGGAGGAAAGCAGGGGAUCGCAAGACCUUGCACUAUGGGAGCGGCCGAUGCCCGAUUAGCUAGUUGGUGAGGUAAAGGCUCACCAAGGCGACGAUCGGUAGCUGGUUUGAGAGAACGACCAGCCACACUGGGACUGAGACACGGCCCAGACUCCUACGGGAGGCAGCAGUGGGGAAUAUUGGACAAUGGGCGAAAGCCUGAUCCAGCG
rnacentral:rRNA from 1 species